rnacentral:rRNA from 1 species
UACGUAGGUGGCAAGCGUUGUUCGGAAUCACUGGGCGUAAAGCGCACGUAGGCGGAUGUGCCAGUCAGGGGUGAAAUCCCGGAGCUCAACUUCGGAACUGCCUCUGAUACAGCACGUCUUGAGUCCGGAAGAGGUGGGUGGAAUUCCUAGUGUAGAGGUGAAAUUCGUAGAUAUUAGGAAGAACACCGGUGGCGAAGGCGGCCCACUGGUCCGGUACUGACGCUGAGGUGCGAAAGCGUGGGGAGCAAACAGG